rnacentral:rRNA from 1 species
UACGUAGGGGGCAAGCGUUGUCCGGAAUCAUUGGGCGUAAAGCGCGUGUAGGCGGCUUGGUAAGUCCGCUCUGAAAUCCCGGGGCUCAACCCCGGGAGGCGGAUGGAUACUGCUUGGCUCGAGUCCGGAAGAGGCGAGUGGAAUUCCCGGUGUAGCGGUGAAAUGCGCAGAUAUCGGGAGGAACACCAAUGGCGAAGGCAGCUCGCUGGGACGGUACUGACGCUGAGACGCGAAAGCGUGGGGAGCAAACAGG